rnacentral:rRNA from 1 species
CAGUCGCCGCGGUAAUACGAAGGGGGCUAGCGUUGCUCGGAAUGACUGGGCGUAAAGCGUGCGCAGGCGGUUUGUUAAGACAGAUGUGAAAUCCCCGGGCUUAACCUGGGAACUGCAUUUGUGACUGGCCGGCUAGAGUAUGGCAGAGGGAGGUGGAAUUCCACGUGUAGCAGUGAAAUGCGUAGAUAUGUGGAGGAACACCGAUGGCGAAGGCAGCCUCCUGGGCCAAUACUGACGCUCAUGCACGAAAGCGUGGGGAGCAAACAGGAUUAGAUACCCCAGUAGUCCCUGUCUCUUAUAC